rfam:Stegodyphus mimosarum contig74063, whole genome shotgun sequence.
UUGUUUUUCAUGAUAGGCUAUACCUAAACCACUAUGAUGGUAUAGUUUGGAUGUUCUUAACAC